AAUGAACGUUGGCGGCGUGGAUUAGGCAUGCAAGUCGCGCGACAAGGUUUUGUUAGCUUGCUAAUGAGACUGGAGGAGCGGCGCAAGGGAGAGUAACGCGUGGGUAUCUGCCCUAGGGUCCGGGAUAGCAGGGGGAAACCGCUGGUAAUACCGGAUAAUAUCCCUGGAUCAAAGGUGUGAUUCCGCCCUGGGAUGGGCCCGCGUCCUAUUAGGUAGUUGGUGGGGUAAUGGCCUACCAAGCCAAAGAUGGGUACCGGGUGUGAGAGCAUGGCCCGGCUCACUGGGACUGAGACACUGCCCAGACAUCUACGGAUGGCUGCAGUCGAGAAUCUUCCGCAAUGGACGAAAGUCUGACGGAGCGACGCCGCGUGCGGGAUGAAGGCCCUCGGGUUGUAAACCGCUGUCAGAGGGGAACAAAUUAUUAGGGGUUCUCCCCUAGUAUUGAGUGAUCCUCAGAGGAAGUACGGGCUAAGUUCGUGCCAGCCGCCGCCGUAAAAC
rnacentral:rRNA from 1 species